CCUUAGUGGUACAGCUCAAGCCACAUUACCUUGUCUUGUUCCUUGCCUUGAUUCUUAGUCAUUUGUAUUUGUUACCUUGCAGGAUUACCAGAACCUGACCUUGUCUUUUCGUGUGGAACUCUGCCUGGAUUUACCACUUCUGGAAAGAAGCUAUCAAGCUCCAUGAACAAAGAUUCAAACCUCUUGGACCUCACUGGAUGGCAGCCUCCUGUAUUCUUCACUCCUUGUAUACCAUUCAAGAACACCUGUCCACCCUCCCCCUUCCACCACACCUACUUCUGAAGACCCUGGACCUGCUUAUCAUUAUGGCACACUAUUAUUCCACCAUCAUCUGUCUCACGGGUAAACAACUAUUUGGUCUCUCCACUUCUCACCCUCUGGUGGAUCAUUCUAUCAACCCAUUGGUUUCCUGGUUCCAGUUUCCCUGCCUAUGCCACUGCACUGUAAAUAAACACUUUACUGUAAAA